UCAGAAGGCUGUAUCACAUUUUCUUGUUUUCCUUGUCCCGUCUCCUUCUCAGUUUUAGUGCUUUCUGUCCUAGCUAAAUUAUCAGGUUCAUCAUAUUUGACACGUUCACCACCGGGCAUUUUAUCAUCUGCAUUAUUGUUAUCUAUUUCCAUUUCACUAAGCUUUUCAUGUACCAAAUGUGCUGGAACUUCUGCCUUAGCUUCCGUAAGUUCAGGUUUAAUUGAGAUAGGCAUCUCAACACUGGGAUAGGCUUGGUUCUGAGCAUCCCUGGCAAGAUGUGAUUCACAAUUUGCAGAAACAGAUGAAGCACAGUUGUCAUUUUCAGGAUUAAUGGACUGCAUGAUGUGCUCAGUCUUUAUGCGUUUUAGAGAUGGAUGCGGGUAUUCUGAAGUUUCCACAACUAGUGGAGGCUUUGAGAUCAAUCUUGGCGAUGAACUUACAAUAUUGUAUGAUUUACAGGAUCCAUUUACUGCAAUUGGCAAACUUGAUUCAGCUUCUGGCCGAAUCUGAUGCUUGAGUUGAAAUGCACGUCGAUAAUUUCUUACAAAAACACAAACGGGGCAACAUGGAUCCUUGCAGUUUAUGAAAUGAUGAAGCAAUACUCUAGUAUGAUGACAACGAGGAUAUGGACAAUGGCGCAGGGUGCAUCCAUCUAUGUGCUUACAUAACUUUUGCGCAAGAGAACAAAAGCGUUCUUGGCAUUGUCCUUCGGGAGCAGAACAUCGUCGAGCAUGGAGUAGAAAUAAAAGCCAUCUCUGUUGAUUUUUGUGCGCCUUUUUGAUAGCACUGAGCCCCAGGCCAGUAGUCUCCAUCAAAAUAUGGAAGUCUUGCAGCUGUAACCUUAGCCCUACAUUCCCCGGUAGAUACAAAGAAAUGAUCGUAUAAGUUGGUUAGAUCAACCACAACAUUCUCCUUGGCAGCUUUUCUUAACAUGGCCAGAUACCUGAAGAGAAAUGAACACAGAAGAAACCAAAUUUAGAGAUGAAGAAACCUACCAUCUUGUACAGGUAAAAUAAUUAGACAACUUCUUUCUUUUAUUUUUGCUUUUCCUCAAGCUCAUAGGCUCACCACUCCCGAAGCUUAUCAGAUUUUGGUGUUUUCUGAAUUUCCGGAUGACAAUAUAGGAUAUAGUCUUCACCCUUCAACGGAGGACAUGCCCAUAUAUAGCAGCUAGUAAAACCACGCUUCUUGCAAUAUUCAAGGUAUCCAAUCUACAAAGAAAUAGUCAGAAGUUGAAUAUCACCACAAUAGGGUUCCAAAAGGAUGUAAAGACAUGAUAAGAGCAAAAUUACUAGUGACUACAAUUUACCAGGAUUUCGUGAUAAACAAAUGUCCGGAGAGCCUCUCCAGUCACUGCUCUAACUUCAGGUCUAAAAUACUUCACAGAGUCCAGAUAUGAAAGAUACACCCGGCGCUGAUUGGGAAAUUCAGCUUCAGAUCCAAAUUCUUGAACAUACAUGCCAAAUAGGCAGACUUCCACACCUUCAAUUUUCUGAAACAACAAAACUACCUGGAAUACAAAGCUAAGGUCAUCAACAUUCAUCAUCAAUGGGGAUUCAAUUACAUCAAAUUUAAUAAAGCAGCUUCCCAAUUACCUUGGAUUUGUAUGGGAAUUCUGUUGGGUAAUUUUCUUCUUGAAAAAUCUCCAAAAACCGCUGUUUCACUUCUAACUUCUUGUCAACAGAUGAAACAACCCUUACAACAAGGAAAUCAGCUCCAGGCACCUAGUUACAUCCAAGAAAAAAUGUUUUAUAUGUCACAUGAACACAACUAAAUGCAAUUACUAGUAUACACGAAACUAGAGUGUGAGCACAGUAAGUAAGGAACUAAUAAAUAUAUAUUAAAAAAGUACACUGAAAUAAAAAUUCAAUCAAACAUAUUUUAUCCAGCCACUAGAAGAAUCACCUCAUCAUAACUUUUCCCUUGAACCCUUGCCCUCUCUUGCCUUUCUUGCCUCAGUCGUCUAAAUAAUCGUUGUUCUAUCUGGUCACUGAGAAUAGUUUUUGGCAAAUCCUUCGCUCCAAGAACAGCACUUUGGGGUAACGGUUUGCGCUCUCCUCUUUCGACCUCUUCAAUGUAGCAGUUAGGGCAAGUGUAUUCAGCUUGUCCACCAUCAUUUCUUCUACCAUUAAAUAACGCACAAAUCUGGUGUUGCCAAGCUUCACAUUUAUCACAUUGAACCCACUGCACAUAAAAAUAGAUGGUAAAUAGCAAAUCAAACAGAUGAACUGCCAAUAGAGCAGCAAAAUGACACAUGGCACGCACCCAUUCUUCAGUUUCCUCAUCAUUCUUCUUCUUUUCCAAUCUUGACUUGGGAAUGGGAGUCCCAUCAACGUUAAUGUUCUCUGAACGAGCAUCAUUAUAGCAUGGAAUACAAAAAUAAUGCCGUGUAUCACCAGCACCCAUGGUGUAAUACAUAUUAUUUCGUUUAAUGCGGACACCACAAGUUGUGCAGUAAAUAGGUGGGGGUUCAAAAGUAAGCUUCUCAACAGCACACAAUUGACAGGAGUUCUCACUCAUUGAAUGCUCCAUUGCUUGAUUCUUCUCUACUUUUGAUUUGCUCUGUUAAAGGAAAACAAGAGUACAAAAACAUCAUAGUAAAUAAUGCUCAAUCAUAAAUCAUAAGGCUCAAUCAACAUUAAUCCCACUAGGCGGGUUCAGCUACAUGGAUAGAACAACACCAUAAUGUUCAAUCAUAAAUCAUGUUCAUUGACAAAUCAUUGAUCUCUAAAUUUUUCCUAAUCAUUUUGCCUAUACUUUUGUUGGCCUCUCUCUUCCUCUAAAAAUUGGAGUAACAUCCAUUUGAUCUACUCUCCUUACUGGGGCUUCUAACAAUCUCCUCUACACAUGUCUAAAGCAACUACGGUGUGAUUCUACCAUCUUUUCUAUAAUAGGAGUUACUCCAGCUUUUUCCCUAAUGCUCAUCAUGGCAAAAUUUGGAUACAGAGAUAAUUAGAGAAAUCUUAUGCAUGUUAAAUAGCAAAUGAACAAGUAACCUUAGCUAAUUCCAACCUUAAAAAUUAUUUAUAAACCUCAGCUUUAGGAGAGAUAUCAUAUCAUAUGAUGACUGAUAUUGUUAAAUAAAUGGGACAACGAGAAAUAUUUUUUAGAAAUGUAUAGCAUUUAAGAGCAUUACAUUUGGGCUUAACAUUUAUCAUAACAUUUAGAAGGAACAUAUAAACAGUGUUUUAUGAAGCUAAGUGCAUUAAAAAAAUGAAGCUUCUACAAGAAGCGUGUCAGUAAUGUGAACAUAGCAUGAGAUGGAGUCAAAUGAAGAAAUACAAGGGAGAUAUCAUUUAUCAUACAUAUACAUCAAAAACCAAAGUUAACUAGAUACUAAAAAUAGUCAAAGACAGCCAGGGCAUUUAAAGUAAGUAAUGUGAUAACAUAAGAAACAUGGUGCAAAAUCUUGUCCCAAUGAUACAUUUGGAGUGGACUUUUAUGGUAUGUUUGGUGACUUUUGGGAUGACAUCAAAGAUUUUAGUAUUUUCACUUAAUUAUGCUCAUAGGCUUUGGUCGGAGAAAAGAGAGCAUAUUGAUGUGGAAGUGUACUUUGUAUGUUGUUCUUUGGUGCCUAUAGCUGGACUAAAAUGCCUUAAUCUUUAAAGGAAAAUCUCUGUUCCAAUGAUUGAUAAGGCAUAGAAUUGUUAUCAGUCUCCCCAUUUUGCUCAGCACAAGCUUUCUUUCAAAUAAUCUCAUUGGCAGAGUUGAAUAGGAAAUGGAGUUACACUUUAACUUUUCUUUGUACUCAUUAUAAUGUUUUUAUAAUAUUUUAUGAAUUAAAAAGAAAGGCUAAUGUCAUGAUGCCAAACACCAUAUUCUAUUUGUCAUAAGAGGACAGUACAUGAUCCAUUUUGUUUGCUAUCUCGUUUUUAAAGUUCAGUUAGAGCAUCAGAAUUCAAUGCCAUUAAUGAAUUGAAUAAAGUUCAAUUGUUUUUAUACCACAAUGGAACUGGUAUGUACUUCAGAUGCUUUCAACUAUUAAACCAGAUAUUGUUUUUCCUAUGAAAGAAAUAUGAGUAUAGGACGACUUACUUGGCCAACCCACUGCCUGAGGCCAGUGAUAUGUUCCCUGACUUGCUCUGGAGUAAAUAAUUCUGUAAGUGAGACCCCCUUUACUUUUGGCUUGCCUGAUUUGGUUCCAGCUGCAUUUUCAGAAGGCUGUAUCACAUUUUCUUGUUUUCCUUGUCCCGUCUCCUUCUCAGUUUUAGUGCUUUCUGUCCUAGCUAAAUUAUCAGGUUCAUCAUAUUUGACACGUUCACCACCGGGCAUUUUAUCAUCUGCAUUAUUGUUAUCUAUUUCCAUUUCACUAAGCUUUUCAUGUACCAAAUGUGCUGGAACUUCUGCCUUAGCUUCCGUAAGUUCAGGUUUAAUUGAGAUAGGCAUCUCAACACUGGGAUAGGCUUGGUUCUGAGCAUCCCUGGCAAGAUGUGAUUCACAAUUUGCAGAAACAGAUGAAGCACAGUUGUCAUUUUCAGGAUUAAUGGACUGCAUGAUGUGCUCAGUCUUUAUGCGUUUUAGAGAUGGAUGCGGGUAUUCUGAAGUUUCCACAACUAGUGGAGGCUUUGAGAUCAAUCUUGGCGAUGAACUUACAAUAUUGUAUGAUUUACAGGAUCCAUUUACUGCAAUUGGCAAACUUGAUUCAGCUUCUGGCCGAAUCUGAUGCUUGAGUUGAAAUGCACGUCGAUAAUUUCUUACAAAAACACAAACGGGGCAACAUGGAUCCUUGCAGUUUAUGAAAUGAUGAAGCAAUACUCUAGUAUGAUGACAACGAGGAUAUGGACAAUGGCGCAGGGUGCAUCCAUCUAUGUGCUUACAUAACUUUUGCGCAAGAGAACAAAAGCGUUCUUGGCAUUGUCCUUCGGGAGCAGAACAUCGUCGAGCAUGGAGUAGAAAUAAAAGCCAUCUCUGUUGAUUUUUG
rnacentral:lncRNA from 1 species